AAGAAUUCAAAUGAAUUGGAAAAAUAAAAUAAAUUCGAAUUAGGAAAAAUAAAAUCAAAUAAAGUAAAAUAAAAGUAAAUGUAUAUAUAAGUAAAUAAAAUAAAAAGCGUGUAGACCUACAUAUACGUAAAUGAUCAUGACUUGUUUGGUGAUAAGCUAUUGGAGGAUAAAAAGCUAAUUACGAUUUGCUGUUCAUGAGCCACGUGAUCGAGGUCGUUCAGUUUCGCUAUAAUACUGUGUUUCGAAAGGAUUUAAAUAACAUUUGUAUGCAAGAUAUGAGAGAAAUUCCUAUUAUCUGCUGAAUGUUGAUCCGUCUUAAUCUAUUCAAGAAAUCAUUCACUUAUUCAAAGAAGUUUAUAGAGUUAAUUUUGAAAGAUGUGUGGACGAUUUUGUAGUUUAUUUUGUGCCUGUUUGUUAGUUUGCACCACUAGAAUUCAAAACACUCAUUCUAGAAGUGAAAAUCAUAGUCACGGAUAUUUUCAUAAUGAACAGAAGGAAAAGGAUGAAGAUGGACACGAAUCUGCCGAUCAUAGAUUCUUUUUGAAAGAAAUUUUUAAGAAAUAUGGACAAGGUGAUGCAAUGACUUUCAAGCAGUUUGAAAAUCUAUUAUUUAAUUUAGGUCUGAAUCAACUUAUGAAGAGUUAUGUUAAUCAUUAUGAAUUUGAAAGCAGAAAAUCUUUGGGACCAUCAUUGGAGCAUGAAA
rnacentral:lncRNA from 1 species